rnacentral:misc_RNA from 1 species
AAGCUCUUCCAUGCGUCUGAAUUUGUCCAUAAACAUUUAAAGUUGAAACACCCUGAUCUGUCAGUGGAUCUGACUACUAAAGUGCGUGAAGAUUUGUAUUUCCAGAACUAUAUGAAUGAUGAAAAUUCUCCUGGUGGGACUCCUGUAAUGCUGCCAUCUGUGCCGAAAGAGAAGCCACUUAGGCGCCGACCUGGGCUAGAUGGCCGGCUGAAGGAUGACAGAGGGAACCGUAAAGAUCGGGAUGGACGUGCUAAUGGCGGUGAAAGGUUUGAUAUGUCUGAAAAUCCACAAUCUGGAGAUUUUCAGUCCAAUAAUGAUGGUGCCUCUGGGGGAAAUCCUGAUGAAGAAAUGUUUGAUACUUUUGGUGGACAAGGGAUUCCAGUUGCUUCUUUCCCUUCAGACAUGGCUCCUCCACCAGUAUUGAUGCCUG